rnacentral:tRNA from 5 species
GGCGGACGUGGCCAAGUGGAUUAAGGCAGUAA